rnacentral:rRNA from 1 species
AGCGGCGGACGGGUGAGUAACACGUGGGUAACCUGCCCAAGAGACUGGGAUAACACCUGGAAACAGAUGCUAAUACCGGAUAACAACACUAGACGCAUGUCUAGAGUUUGAAAGAUGGUUCUGCUAUCACUCCUGGAUGGACCUGCGGUGCAUUAGCUAGUUGGUAAGGUAACGGCUUACCAAGGCAAUGAUGCAUAGCCGAGUUGAGAGACUGAUCGGCCACAUUGGGACUGAGACACGGCCCAAACUCCUACGGGAGGCAGCAGUAGGGAAUCUUCCACAAUGGACGAAAGUCUGAUGGAGCAACGCCGCGUGAGUGAAGAAGGGUUUCGGCUCGUAAAGCUCUGUUGGUAGUGAAGAAAGAUAGAGGUAGUAACUGGCCUUUAUUUGACGGUAAUUACUUAGAAAGUCACGGCUAACUACGUGCCAGCAGCCGCGGUAAUACGUAGGUGGCAAGCGUUGUCCGGAUUUAUUAGGCGUAAAGCGAGUGCAGGCGGUUCAAUAAGUCUGAUGUGAAAGCCUUCGGCUCAACCGGAGAAUUGCAUCAGAAACUGUUGAACUUGAGUGCAGAAGAGGAGAGUGGAACUCCAUGUGUAGCGGUGGAAUGCGUAGAUAUAUGGAAGAACACCAGUGGCGAAGGCGGCUCUCUGGUCUGCAACUGACGCUGAGGCUCGAAAGCAUGGGUAGCGAACAGGAUUAGAUACCCUGGUAGUCCAUGCCGUAAACGAUGAGUGCUAAGUGU